CGCUAGGCGAGGCAGUAGCGAGCUGAUUCGCUAGCUGCUCGCUAGGCGAAGCAGCAGCGAGCGCUGCAUGACAGCACUUAUUAAAAAUCUCAGCAGGGCACUCAUUUUGGCCCAAACACAACUUUUCUGUUUUUCAACUCUGCUGAGGAAAAUUUUAACCGAGCACUCUCCACACUCUCUCAUUUUCAUCUCUCUCACUAACACUUUAUCCCUAUUUGGAAGAUUGCAAACCCUACUCCACUUCACAUUUCAAUCAAUCCGUGUAACUAAGGUUUGCCCUACUACAUUUUCUGUAUGUUUGAACUCUGUUAUUUCCGAUUUGGAUGUCAA
rnacentral:lncRNA from 1 species